GGGCGCAACCUGAUGGAGCGACACCGCGUGGAGGAUGAAGGUCUUCGGAUUGUAAACUCCUUUAGACCUAGAUGAAGGCAGUCGGGUGAAUAAUCCGGCUGUUUGACAGUAUAGGUAAAAUAAGCCACGGCUAACUCUGUGCCAGCAGCCGCGGUAAUACAGAGGUGGCAAACGUUGUCCGGAUUUAUUGGGUGUAAAGGGCAUGUAGGUGGUUUUGUAAGUCAAAGGUGAAAUGGCCCGGCUUAACCAGGUCAUUGCCUUUGAAACUGCAGGACUCGAGUGCGGAAGAGGAAAGCGGAAUUCCCAGUGUAGCGGUGAAAUGCGUAGAUAUUGGGAGGAACACCGGUGGCGAAGGCGGCUUUCUGGUCCGAUACUGACACUGAGAUGCGAAAGCCAGGGGAGCAAACGGGAUUAGAUACCCCGGUAGUCCUGGCCGUAAACGAUGAGUACUAGGUGUUAGAGGUAUCCACUCCUCUAGUGCCGCAGCUAACGCAUUAAGUACUCCACCUGGGGACUACGACCGCAAGGUUGAAACUCAAAAAAAUUGACGGA
rnacentral:rRNA from 1 species